CAGUCGCCGCGGGAAUACGAGGGGGGCAAGCGUUGUUCGGAAUUAUUGGGCGUAAAGGGUGCGUAGGCGGCUUGACAAGUCUUGUGUGAAAUCUACGGGCUCAACCCAUAGUCUGCACGGGAAACUGUCGGGCUUGAGAAUGGGAGAGGUGAGUGGAAUUUCCGGUGUAGCGGUGAAAUGCGUAGAGAUGUGGAGGAACACCAGUGGCGAAGGCGACUCUCUGGUCUGUAACUGACGCCGAUGAGCGAAAGCGUGGGGAGCGAACAGGAUUAGAUACCCCCGUAGUCCCUGUCUCUUAUAC
rnacentral:rRNA from 1 species